AAUACAACGGUCUUUUUGAAAGAAAACUUGAAGUCUGAUACUUCAGUAUCAAAAUGUGAUUGUAUCUAUAACUUACUUGUGAUUACGGUGGAAACGUAUCCUUUGUUUUACAUGCCCUUGAGCUGGACGUAAAAUGACGGCGUGAUUGACCCUAUUCACAAUCUUUUAACUCCACCCAUUUCGCAUGCGCAUGUCUUAAUCCGAUCAAGCUGCUAACUCCACCAGUUUUUUCUUCUUCAGCUUCGAGAUCCAAGUUCCGGAUUUCGCCUUGGAAUACAGCAAGGCACAAACGAUGAGCUGAUGUUUAAACACAGCGACGAUAAACUCCUCACAGCAAUUGGAGAAAGUGCUAUUUUAGUGGGGGACGAGUCAGGACAGUACGAUAUGCUUGAUGAAGGGACGCUAGAUGCAAUUAGUGUCGUCACUCCGUACUUUGAGCACUACACCGCCCUCCGACCAAACAAAUAUUAUAGUGUUGUUGGCGACGUGAUAAGAACUAUAACUGGUGAGUUCGCUUUUUCGAAGGGCUCCCCUUGGAAAGAGAAAAUUUCAGCUAAACUUCAAGAGUAUAGAAAGAAUGAAUACUUCCAUCAAUUACAAAAGAGGUGGCUUUUAAGCCCAACUAAGACAACUACACGGGUAUCGUCACAGCAGCUUUGGAUUCAGCACCUAAAGGGACUUUUUCUUCUCCUGCCUUGCACAGUUGUUGCUUGUGCUGUCUUGAUGAUAGGGGAAACUCUGUUCUUCAGAAAGAAUCAGGCGCGAGAUUUUGAGGUGAUGGUGGUUGGUCAUCAGAAUCCCAUAACGGUUCAAGAUCAGCCUCUUACACAUCUCGCGGGCCCAACACAACAAGAACCAAUUGUACAAUACUAAAACGGCGUAACUAGUAAAGAUCAGCCCGUUACACAUCUCGCGGGCCCAACACAACAAGAACCAAUUGUACAAUACUAAAAAGGCGUAACUAGUAAAGAUCAGCCCGUUACACAUCUCGCGGGCCCAACACAACAAGAACCAAUUGUACAAUACUAAAACGGCGUAACUAGUAAAGAUCAGCCCGUUACACAUCUCGCGGGCCCAACACAACAAGAACCAAUUGUACAAUACUAAAACGGCGUAACUAGUAAAGAUCAGCCCGUUACACAUCUCGCGAGCCCAACACAACAAGAACCAAUUGUACAAUACUAAAAAGGCGUAACUAGUAGAGAUCAGCCCGUUACACAUCUCGCGGGCCCAACAGAACAAGAACCAAUUGUACAAUACUAAAAAAGCGUAACUAGUAAAGAUCAGCCCGUUACACAUCUCGCGGGCCCAACACAACAAGAACCAAUUGUACAAUACUAAAAAGGCGUAACUAGUAAAGAUCAGUCCGUUACAAAUCUCACCGACGCACCGAGUGCUCGCAUGAUAAAAGCUACCCACCUUUUAUCCCCUCCUUCCGUAGUUACCUACCAGUGUCGAUGAAAAAAUAUCGCAUUCCCAACCUGAAAGCUUAUCCUAAAGUGCUUAAAAGGGACGAGCACUUCUGUCAAGUUUACACCAAUCGUUUGUCCGUUUGGUGCUACGGAACAGGUGCUGACACCUACUCCAUCCUCGCGGCGUUUCUUACAACCAACAAUUACAUCGACCCGCUACUUUAGUGCCGCUCGUCUCGACACAGACCACCUCCUGUCUGAGGGGCUUUUUAGCAAAGUUCCGAGACACUCUCAAGGAGUUCGACGAGGUUUUUGACCCAAACAUCAAGGGCUCUAAUGGCGCCUCAGGUCCUUUCGAAGCAAUGGUUAACACGGGGCAAGGGUCGUCUUUCCCAGUAUCCGCGAGGUCCGAAUUGUGGAGCUCCAGCAGCACUUGGACGAACUCGAAGAACUAUAGGGCUGUUCAAACGACCUAAGGACAUUGGUGUGUCCGUCGAGUAGCUCAAUCCCUCGCUCCUCGCCACGAUUAGACCGUGCGUCUUAUUGGGAGAUGGAAGCAUAUCUUUACAACUGACUUUACCAGGGCAUUUAACAAAUCCCACUCGCUCGGGAAUCGUGAAGUAUCGAGGAGUGGUUACGUUCUUAUUUGGCAGCAGAAUCUACGCCCGAUCAGCUAUUGAGGAGCUUACCUCCAGAGUACCUCCUUGGUGAUCUCCUGAAAAGGGGACAACUGGAAAAGAGUCUUGAGUUCCUUACAGAUUGCUCACAGCUUCGAACACAAGCGUUAACCCACAACUAUCCUCGACUGGUUGUGGUCCCAAGAAACCCUAAAUGCAUGCCCACAUCGCGUCGCAGCAAUUUCCCGAUGCUUUCCACCUCAGAAAGUCAGCAACCUAAAGUCAUUAGGGGCAAGUUCUCGCACGCGUUAUUCCAAACUGCUCGCCGCUUCUUGCCACAUUAGACGACACCAUUGCUAGACGACCCUCAACCUUCGUGAUACGCCUUCUCUGUUGCUAAGAAAGACCUCGCCAAACCGCAAACUGCUCCCUACCCAAAACUGGCGUCAUCUGGAUUGUGACAGAUGGACGUGUUUAUGCAACCCGGCAUCGUCGCGACGAUAUACGUUACGUGUUCAUGCAAGCUCCGAAUCUUUACAUUACUCUCAACUGUCAGUCGCUAACGGGUUCAAGUACAAGGCGUAGCAGGUGCAGCUAUUUUGCCGUCUGACUUCGGUAGCUGUAACGAAGCUCCCCUUUGUGCGGAUAUGACCUUCGUCGACAACAGCAAAGAUUCAUCAAUCGCCGACAUAGCAUCGGGAGCAGCCCGCCUCCCCUUUAUAAGCAGAGCAGUGUGGCUGUCCAUCCAAUAAGAAUGUCCAGACCUCCGCAGGACACACGCCCAUAUGCGACAGGGAACACGCCUCUCCAAGAAAAAAACAAACAUCAAGAACGUCAAACGCUACCUUAACAUAUAAUUAUUUUAUCCUGACACACUCAAAGAGCGAGUCAACGAAAUGUUCCUUCCAGACACACUAAAAAUAGCUUGGCAAAUAUCUUCUAUAAUUUCUUCGCAGCCAUAAGGCGAGUCAGCGAAUGCCCUUCUUGCUACACUCAGAAGAUGUUCUAGUCCAAGACCCAAAUUCACAAUAAGUAUACAAGCGUAGCUAGUUGUCUUUAAAAAAAGCUAAUAGCGCACCUAUAACAGCUAGCUGUCAACGUUUCUGAAAUUCUCCUAAUGUUCAUAUCGAGAUUUCUCAUUCUAAGGGAAUUGCCAAAAUCCACACAAUGGGGAAGGUCUCAGCUAUGGCUAUAUAUAUAUGGCUCAACUUUGACAUAAAUUCGCAAGCUUUUUGAAUAUGCAAUUUAAGCCUUUUCCAACAUCAGGCAGAUACUCAAUGCAAUAAAUUUAAAAGACUCGAAUGGGAUUCUUCAAGCUCGCUUUCGUCUGUCCUCUAACGGCGGAUUACUGAGUAAACAGUGACUUAGUGAACAUUGAGUUGAGCAUGCUGUGGAGGUGAUGAUAAAAGACAUCAAGUUACCGGGAAAGAAUAUGGUUUUACCCUUCGGCUGUUGGUCGGCAGCCAUAUAGACAUUGAAUAGUGUGAACGGAAGUAUGCAGAUAUUAAAGGCUGUUGUCAUAAAAAAUAAAAGUUUAGCCAGCUUCUUCUUCGAUUCAAUGGUUGGGUCGGUUGGAACGGUCUCUAAACAGAUUAAUGUAAACAAUUUUGGAAUGAAUUUGGUUUAAGAAAAGACAGCAUUUAGAAGAGCCGUGGUGA